rnacentral:rRNA from 1 species
UACGAAGGGGGCUAGCGUUGCUCGGAAUCACUGGGCGUAAAGCGCACGUAGGCGGACUCUUAAGUCGGUGGUGAAAUCCUGGAGCUCAACUCCAGAACUGCCUUCGAUACUGAGAGUCUCGAGUCCGAGAGAGGUGAGUGGAACUGCGAGUGUAGAGGUGAAAUUCGUAGAUAUUCGCAAGAACACCAGUGGCGAAGGCGGCUCACUGGCUCGGUACUGACGCUGAGGUGCGAAAGCCAGGGGAGCGAACGGG